rnacentral:rRNA from 1 species
GACGAACGAUGGCGGCGUGCCUAAUACAUGCAAGUAGAACGCACAGUUUAUACCGUAGCUUGCUACACCAUAGACUGUGAGUUGCGAACGGGUGAGUAACGCGUAGGUAACCUGCCUGGUAGCGGGGGAUAACUAUUGGAAACGAUAGCUAAUACCGCAUAAUAUUAAUUAUUGCAUGAUAAUUAAUUGAAAGGUGCAAUUGCACCACUACCAGAUGGACCUGCGUUGUAUUAGCUAGUAGGUGAGGUAACGGCUCACCUAGGCGACGAUACAUAGCCGACCUGAGAGGGUGAUCGGCCACACUGGGACUGAGACACGGCCCAGACUCCUACGGGAGGCAGCAGUAGGGAAUCUUCGGCAAUGGACGAAAGUCUGACCGAGCAACGCCGCGGGAGUGAAGAAGGUUUUCGGAUCGUAAAGCUCUGUUGUAAGAGAAGAACGGGUGUGAGAGUGGAAAGUUCACACUGUGACGGUAUCUUACCAGAAAGGGACGGCUAACUACGUG